rnacentral:lncRNA from 1 species
UUUUUUAAAAUUUUUAAAACUAUAUAUUAUUUUGGAGUUUUUUUUUAUAAUUCUUUAUUAUUUUUUUUUUGGGGGCAUCGUUUGAUUGAAUAUAAUUAAAAAUAUAAUAUUAUUAAAUAUAUAUAUAGCUGAAAAUACAACAUCUUAUUAAGUUAUUAGUGAAAUACCCGCGCGAUGCUGCGGAUCUAAAAAUAUUUUAACAAUAAAUUUUAUUUUUUUAAUAUUUUUAUAUAGUUUUAUAAGUCUAAUUAUUAAUUAAAUAAAAAUUAUAUAAAAAUAAUUUAAUAGUUAAAUCUUAAAAUUGAUAUAUGCCCAAAUAAAUUUAUACAUCACUUUAUUUUAUAAAGAUUUAUAUGAGAAAGAUUUGAGAUAAAUCUAUCAAAAUAAUUUUUAAAAAAUCAAUAGAUAGAAGGGAAGUAAAUUUGUAGAAUAAAUUGCUUAAUAAAAUUAAUUAUAUAUAUAUAUAUAUACAUAUACACUAUAUUUUUAAAAUUUUUCACUUAAAAUUUAAAUUAUGUAUUUUUUUAUACAACGAUAUUUUAAGUGAUUUAAAUUAAAUCUAUCAUGUUAAAUUUUAUUAUACGAUUUAUUAUGCAUAUUAUUAAUAAAAUUAAUUAAUUUCAUAGAGUUUAGAGAUUUAAAAUUUUUAGUUUUGAAGAAAUUUAAAUUAUGUAUUUUUUUAUACAACGAUAUUUUACAUGAUUUAAAUUAAAUCUAAUAUGUUAAAUUUUAUUAUCCGAUUUAUUACCCGUAUUAUUAAUAAAAUUAAUUUUAUAAUUUUAUAGAGUUUAGAGAUUUAAAAUUUUAAAUUUUGAAGUUACAAAAUUGGAAAUAAAUAUUAUAAGUUAAAAUUGAAAUUUAGAAUUUAAAAUAUAAAAUUUAAAAUUUAAAAUUUAAAACUUUAAAACUUUAAAAUUUGAAAGUAUGAAAAUUUAAAAUUUUGAUAUAAAAAUUAAAAAUUAUAUAUAUAUAUAUAGAGAGAGAGAGAGAGAGAGAGAGAGAGAAAGUGUAAAGGAGGGUUUGGGGGGUGACACGUGUCACCCUAUGGACCCCCCAAAUCCUUUUUUAAUGUAGAAGAAAGAAUAGAUAGAUAUGUACACUACAACAGAAUUAGAUUAUAUGGACACAUGUUUGGGACACUUUUGAGUAAGUGUCUCAUUUAUGCUAAAACUUAAAAACACAUCUACUAAUGCCUAAAUAUAAAGCCCAAUCCAACCAAAAAUAAAAGAUUACUCUACUCAACCCACCACACCCAGUCCAUUUGGCCCGAUUACAAACAGAAAAGAAAAAAAAAAAAAAAAAAAAUUACCAUCUUUUCUUCUCUCUUCACUCAAUCCACUGAAAUUCUAGACGAAGAGCCUUUUCCUCUCGUCCUCCUCCGCCACCGCAGCCAACGAGAUAGAGUUUCGGUGGUUGCUAAAUGCUUAAAUAAGUGUUGGUAAAUUAGCAGCACUCUUUUAGGUUAUAGCGACACUCUUUAACUGUCACUAUAUACCUAGCGACCCCACAUAUAGCAACACUUUUUAAAAGUGUCGGUAAUUUUAGCUAGCAGCACUUUUUUGACAUGUACCUACAUUUAAAACUGUUGCUAUAGACUGUUUUUGUUGUAGUGGUAAUAGAAAAAUUAUAAAUAUAAAUAAUUUAUUUAUUUGCAUAAUGUUAAAAAAUUAAAAAAAAAAAACUUUAUCACUUUUAUCUAUAAUGAUAAGAUGACCUCCAAUAUAGAAAUAAAAAAUAUUUUUUAUUUAAAAAAUGAUUAAGAAAGAUUUAUUUUUUUUUUGUUUAAAAUUACUUUUUCAAAUGUUGCAGUCGAAACUACACCAAUUUAAGUGUACUUUUCAUGUUGUUCUAACAGCAAUAUUUAAAUUCAAAUGUACCAACUAAACAUCGAAUUUAAAUUCAUACAUAAUUACAAUUAUAGUGCGGCUAUAACA